AAUGUGAUCACUGGAUAUUUGUAAUUUACAGUGAUACAGGAAUAUGUCUACGGAGAGUAUUAUGAAUAUAAAAUGUUAAAAACAUUGUUAUUAUUUGAUUUUAACACAGUAUGAUUAUUAUGAUUAUAUGUCUAUCAUUACUGCUAUUAUGAUGAUGAUGAUGAUGAUGAUGAAGUGUAAAAUGAGCCGCUGUGUUCUUUUGUAUGUGUGAAUAUUCAAUAAAUAGGUGUCAACGAAG